UUUAAAAUCUGUAACAUUCAAAUAUAGUUUCUUUGAAAAUAAUUCAUAAACCCCAACUAUGCAUUCAGAAUGGCAUCAUCAACCAUAAUACACAUAUAUAGUUUGACAAAUGAAUCUCAUCAUUUCAUAACAAGUAUUCAUAUACACCUAAUUAGAACUUGACUGUCAGCGGCGUGACUCCGGACAAGGUUGCUAACAUUUAAUGUCAUGGUAAACCUACCGAGCAAUGGAUAGGGAGGAACACCUCGUCCUAGGAUCCAAUCACCUUUGAAUAAAAAAAACCUAAAACAUGAAGUUUAAAAACGUGAGUAUAAACUUAGUGAGUGAACAUAGGAAGGAAACAAGCAACAUUACGGAAGUUUAGAAAUCAUGAUGCACUUAAGUUUGAAAACAAUACAACUUAGUUCAAGUUCUUAAAUCAUUGGUUAUUAAAUCAUUUAAUGAUGAAGGAACCAUAUUCAGCAUGAAAUUGGAAUGAGAGGAAAUUUCUAGCAAUCAUCCAGGCAAGGCAGUAUAAACAAAAUGUUUCUUGCUACAAUAAAAUCAAUUCACAAGUAAAUGGGAAAUUUUCAAGAUUCAUUAUGCCAUAUAAUCACAUAUUAUAAUCAUAAUCUUUCUGUUGCAUAUACAUAUACUUAAGCAUAUGUAAAACCUGACUCUAUAAAUACAUGUCAUGAUAUACAUGGAUUGAGUAGCAUGUUAUUACGCUAGAAAAGCACCUAAGAAUAGACGAAACCCGAUAUUGUACCUAACGGUACACUUCAAUUGAUUUAACCUCGAACUAGUUCAAAUAGGAAUUGUAGGUUGAAAUUUAAUAUUUUAUAGUCCAGGAAUGACUAAAAAUGAUUGUUCAGAGUUCGAGGGUUCAUUUGGGGUAAAAUUAGAAAUUUUGAUAUUCUAGGGCAAAAUCGUCAUUUUGCCACCUAAGAUAAUAAUUUGAUCAUGGAGUGAAAUUUUUGUCCAAGAUUAACUAUUUGGAGUAUAAUUUAAUGAUAGAAAGUGAAAAAGUUUAAUUCUGGUGAUUUUUGGGAGUGUAGGGGUAAAAUCGUAAUGUUGCCACCCACGGACAAAAUUUGAGAUUUUGAGAGAAUUUAGAUCAAAUUUGACAAAUUGGAGAAUGGUAUGAGUAUAAGGGAUGAAAAAUAUGUCUAUGGGCAAUUUUUCAAUUUUUGGGGCAAAAAUGUAAUUUUUGACUUUUACGGGGGCAAAAGUGUAAAUUUCAAAAAUUACUCCACCGAGACUUUGGAUGAGUCUGAGAAUUUUAUCUAAGCUAUGAAUAUAUGAGACAAGUGUAUGGUGAAAAUUUGGAAACAAAUGGAUGAAAUUUUAAAAAUGGGCCAAUGGGAAAGUGACAUGUGGCAUUUUUUAAUGAUAUAAUAUUAUUUUAAUGAAAAGUCAGCCCAUUUAAACCCAAAUUUUAAGUGCUGGCCGGCCAUAAGGAAGAACAAGAGAGGAAAUAGAGAGGAAAGGAAGAAAAAAAGAAAAACCAAAGAGAAACAAGAAAAUUCAAAGGGAAAUUCGCGGUUUUCGACCGUUUACGCGUCUAACGGUAAGAUUUUUCGAUUUUAGCUUGAUUUCUACCUUUCCUAUGCCUUUAUUUCCAUUUAGCAUGCUUGAGGAGAGAGAUCAAAAAGUGAUAUCAAGGGCUGGACGAAAUUCUAGGGGAGAGAAAUUGAAAUUUUUAGGUUUUGAUUUUUAGUUAAAUUGAUAGUUUUAGUUAGUUAAAUGUGUUUAGAAAUUAAAUUGGGCAAGAAAUCAUUAAAUUUUCACAAUACCCACUCUUGGCUGGAUGCUCAAUGCUGUACAAUGAUGAUGAAUUGAUUUUAUUCUAAGGGAAAUGAAGAGAAAAUGAUGAAAAACGAUUAAACGUGAUAGAAAAACAAAGUAGAAAAUUAACCGAGUUAAUGUCCCAUUUUUGGCCGAAUUUUCCAAGGAAGGGAGUGAGCUGAUUUUGUUGUUUUUAGAAGGUUAUUGGCUGAUAUUUAAUGGUUAGAAAUGUUGGAGAGAGAAUGGGAUGAUUUAGAGCUAAAAUGGAGCGCGUUAGCAAUUUAUCGGGCAAAGUGCCAAAAAUAGGUUAAUACCGCGUUUAAGCCGUUUUAGGCUAUUGCAUUUCAUACCAUGCAUUAGUAUAGGAUUUAAGUUAAUUAUAUAGUGAUUUAGCAUCAAUGUGAUGAAUUGUGUAAAUUUUUGUAAUGUGUCUAGGAGGAGAGCCUUCCGGAAAAGGCAAAGAAGUCGUACCCGACGAGUAGUGAUCGGGGCGCUUAGAAAGCUUUUAGUUUGUACAAACGGUGAGUAAACUUAUUAUUAUUGUAAAUUAUCUAGAGUUUAUUUUAAAUGCCCUUUAUGUAUUUUAUGAAAUGAGAACGAGAUUAAAACGGGAUUUUUGAUGUUUUAGGAAUAAAUGUGACAAAUAAAAAUAUAUUGUAUUGAUUAUGAAAUUGAGUAAUUGGAGGCUACAAAUUGACUUGAAAAAUAUAUAUUUUCCUAGGAAUGGCUUAUGAGAAAUGAGUAUAUGUGGCUAUAUUUUGUGAAUGCAUUGGGAAAUUUAUGUAAGUUGUUUUACUAUGCAGGCUGGAUAAAUAAAUAAAAGCCACGUUAUACUGUCGAAAUUUUAUUAAAAUUGGUGGGUUAGUCACUGCAGUGACGGGUUUCCGUGGACUGCCUAUUAGAGGGGCACGGUAAACCCAGUUAUAUAGUUACUCCGGUUGUAGAGGCGAGGAGGGUAACUCCCGGGGUAGUAUUAGAGCUCACUUCACGUCGAACCCCCACGUGAAUGUGUAACUCGGCCAACGCCAAGGGACGGCUGGUUUUAAAAAUAAAAAUGUGUUUCACGUGUGAAUAUUUUAACACCCUUGGCGGACUCGGUUAGAUGCCUCGGCCAAGGUAUCCCCGAGGAUUAGUUUUGGCUUGAGCCUUGUUUUAAUAAAAGACAUAAGCCUUAACAACUGUUUUGGUAAAUUACAAAUAUUUUAUGGUUUAAGAAAUAAAUUGAAAACAUUAUGAAAUGGGUUGAAAUUUGUUGUUUAAACUUGCCUCCAUUUUACUCGCCUUUAGAUAUUUAUGAUAAUGUCUGUUUACUCAUUGGGAUUGCAAAAUCUCACCCAACUCCUUUCCACCCAUUUCAGGUUCAGUAUAGACUGUAGAUAGCUGAUCUCAUCGAGGACUACCAUUGGAUCUGCAUUUUCCAAACCGUAGGUUCACAGUCCUCUUUACUUUUGUUUAUUCGGGGGCCCUCUUGUUAUUGUAAAUUAAAUUAAAUAUUUUGGCUUACUGUAUUUCAGUAUGUAUAAAUUUAUUUAGCUUUUACGCUAUAAAAAUUAUUCACGUAUAACUCUAUAAAUAUUGUUUUAUAAGAAAAUAGAAUAUUUUCCUUAAUAUUUCUUUUAUUUUCUUAUUAUAUUCAAAUAACCGUAAUUUCGUUUUAAAUGAAGAUUUUAGACUUUUAAACUCAUUUUGAAUAUGAAUUAUGUGUUUUGUACUUGUAUAUUACGUUUUAGCCAGUUUCAAAAUUUUUGAGAAAAAAAUGACCAAAAUACCCCUGUGUGGCGAAAAUUUUAUUUUGAUUGUUUUUGAUCUAAAAUAGUAUAUAUUCUCUAAAAACUCGAUAUUUAACAAUGAUUGUUCACAGGAAAGGAAAGAAACUGAUAUGUAAGCCUUGCGGGGUUCCGGUUGGCAUUCCGAAUAAUGAGUGUCAAUUGGGACGUCGCGGCGAUUGUCAUGGGCCUGAGGCAGGUUCCGGGUCGUGACAGCAUAUAUCAACUAAUAUAUCACCACAUCUCAUCCAGCUCAUGUGCAUCCCCCCACAUCGUGCACAUAGCAGAAGUCAUCGUCUGCAUCCCCACACAUCGUGCACAAAAUAAUGCCAUCGUGUACAUCCCCCCACAUCGUGCACACGGGCCGUGUCAACAUCCAUCUCCCUCACCAUGUCAUCAGCAGCAAGUGCACCUCACCCCGCACAAGCACGGUUACAUUUCUCACACAAUGGUACCAUUUAUGACAUUGUAUAUAUAUAUAUAUAUAUCCAGAGUAUUAACUAUAUUUACGGUAAACACAGUCAUUUCAAAUCUAUCCAAUUAUUUUCCAAUUUCAAUCCACAUUAUUUCUCCUUAUUUCUUCCAAAUAUUAUACCACACAACUUAACACUUUCAACUAAAUUAUGCCAAUAAAUUCCUCCGACAACAAUAAUUCUUCACAACGAAUCAUUUAAAAUUUCUUAACUUCACUUGAGCACUAUUCGUCAAUUUCAUAUUUUCUUCUUUACUUUAGUCCUAUGAUACAUCCUAAUAUAAUUUUUAAUAUUGUAUUAAAGUAAUUUAAAUUUAAUUCAUACCACUAAUAACCAAAAUUUAACUAAACAAGUGGGCUAGCCCCAAAUAAUCCAACUUCAUAACAAGCCCAAUAAAAACAAGGAAGUUUUUUUACCUAUUUGGGCUAAGUUAGCCCAAGCCCAAGUCUCCACCUUUAUUCUCUUUUGGACAUUUCUUUCUUUGUUGCUAUUGGGCCCUUUCCAUGGGUUCUUCUCAUUUCUUCUUAUUGGGCCAUGCCCAUUUUUUUCUUAUUGGGCUAUACCCACUCUCUCUUUUUCUUCUUUUUUUUUUCAUUUCUUUCUCUCUUUCUUCUUCUCCUCUCUCCCGCCGGUCGGUAACACCUUUCUUCUCUUUCUUUUUCCUUUCUUACACUCACAAGCCGGCAGCACAAGAUUUUGUUUACUCCCUCACAAACCCAACAACACCAGCUCUUGUUUUCUCUUUCAAAUUUGCAGCAAAACUCUUUCUAUUUCCUCUCAAAAUUUACAGCAAAACUCCUCCUAUUUCCUCUUAAAAAUUUACAACAAAACUCUUCCUAUUUCUUUCUAAAAAUUGUGCAGCACAAGGCCUCUCUCUUCACUCCUCUAAGCGGCUGCAGCUAUCAUUUUUUUACUCUCUUCCAACCCUCUCUUUCUCCCUUGGCUGACUGCUUUCCCCUUUGCUCUCUCUCUCACACCGACUUCUCUUUUCCUUUUUACCUUCUUCACUUAACCGACUUUGACUCUUUCCUUUUUUUUUUCUUUCUUAUCUUUUCUAUCUUUCAUCUUUAUCUCAUUCUUUCUUACCAACUUGGACCCCUACCACCAAAAAAAAAAUGUAUUGACUCUUUAAUUGACAACAUGUGUGGCUGCCCAUGUUGGUCUUUGUUUUUUUUUUUUAUUAUUUAUUAUUAUUUACUUUUCCUUAUUGUUUUACAUGUGAUUGCCCAUACCAUCAUUCCUUCUUCUUUUAUUAUCUUUUUUGACCGGCCAUGUGGUUAAAAUGCAAGUCAACAAUUGCUUGGAACCUUUACCGCCACCUUACUUGACUUUUCUUCCCCAUUUCACUAUUUUCUCAUCUUUUCUCUUCAUUUUCUUUGUCAUGGACAACUUGUCCAUGAAUUCAUGACUUUUGACUUACUUUCUCUACUUAUUUUAUGUACUAAAAUCACAUAACAAAGACUUUAUCACCUUCCACCCACAACUCACAUUUUUACUCUUUAUAUUAUUUUUACUUUAUGGUUUAUUUAUUCAUUUCUUGUCCCAUUCAACCUACAUUUACAUCUCAUAUUACUCAUAACCUAGCCUUCCUUAAUUAGAAAAUUCUCCUUUUUAACUUCAAAUAUCAAAAUUGCAAAUGAGUCCUUAAACUUUUCCUUAUUUACCAUGUGACUCCUCCAACUUCCAUGCUUUACAAUUAGUUCCUUCCAACAUUUCUUAAACUCUAAUUUCUUUCUAUUACCUUCUUCUACACAUGUACAAACGAAGUAUAAAGUUUGUACUCCAACGCGAUGUCCCAAUAAUAUUUAAAAUAUUUAUUUACCUACGUUAUCUUUACUUAAUAAAGACACGCAGCCUCAUUAACGUCAUUUCUCUGAAAUUUUCUCAUUCUUUUUCUCCCCCACUUAGAUUGACCAUAUACUCCUUCUUCAUGAAAAAUUUUGACACUGAAUAAAAUAUUAAUAUUUUAAUAAUAUUUUGUUAAUAAAAUAUUAUUUUAUUCCAAAAAUUUUCUCUUGUCUCCUUGGUACCCAAAAUACCUUAUUAUGCCUUAAUUGGCAUCCAAUAAGCUUUAUUUGUCAAGACCCGAAACUCCCAUUGGGUCCGUGACAACAGUCGCGACGUCCCAAUAAACAUUCUUUACCCGAAAUGUCAAUUGAACUCUCGCAAGGCUUAACAUCAGUUUUUCUCACUUCCCUUGUGAGUAUUAGUCACUAAAAUUAUGUUUUGUGAGGUUAUAAACAUUUUCCAAAUCAAAACAAUAGAAAAACAUUUUUUUCUCGCAGGGGCAAUUUGGUCAUUUUACCUCAAAAUUCUCGAAAUCCUCUAAAAAUGUAGUGUGCGAGUACAAAACCCAUAAUUCAUAAUCAAAAAUAAGUUUAAACAUCUAAAACCUUCAUUUAAAAUGAAAUUAUGAUUAUUUGGAUAUAAUAAAAAUAUUUAAUAAAAUAUUCUAUUUUCUUAUAAAACAAUAUUUAUAGAGUUACACGUAAAUAAUUUUUGUAGUGUAAAAGCUAAAUAAAUUCAUACAUACUGUAAUACAGAUAACCAAAGUAUAAAUUUAAUUUACAGUGACACGUGGGCCCGCUAACGACCAAAAGUAUCAAAAGAGGUAAACUUACAGUUUUUAAGGAUGCAAGUCCAACUGUAGCCCUAAACUAAAUGAGCUAUCUACCGACUAUCCUGAGGCUGAAAUAGGUGGAAAAGAGAGUGGUGAGAUUAUAUAAUCCUAGUGAGCAAACAGAUAUCAUCUAAAAUAUCUAAAGCUGAGUAAAUGGAGACAAAUAAAAUAAUUUAACAUACUGUAAUUCAUCACCUUUCAACUUGUUUCAACUAAAUAAAAUCAAUUCAUAUAAAUCGGGUAAUCAACAUGGCUUAUGAAUUUCUUAAAACUUUAGCUCGUGCUAAAACUAUUUUGAUACCCAGUUAUCAGGGAUGCCUUGACCGAGGGCUCUCCCAAUCGAGUCCGCCAAGGUUGUUAAAAAGUUAUGUACGCAUAAAUCAUAUUUUUAUUUUGAAUUCAUAGUCGUUCCUUGGCGUUGGCCAAGUUCCCCUCACGUGGUGGUUGGGCGUGAAGUGAACUUUAAAGUUUGACCUCGGGAGUUACCGUACCCACCUCUCCAAUCGAGGUACAUAUAUAUGAUCAGGUCUCGUGUGUCACGACCCGAAACCUCCCUCAGGCCCAUGACAAUCGCCGCGAUGUCUCGAUUGACACUCAUUACCCGAAAUGCCAAUCAGAAGCCCGCAAGGCUUACAUAUCAGUUUCUUACCUUUCUUGUGAGCAAUCAUUUUUAAAUAUUCCGUUUUAAACAAUUACCGGUCGUUUUUGGCUCAAGUAAAUCAAAAGACAAAAAUAUAUCAUUUUUUUAUAUAAAACAAUAUAAAACAGAUACACGUGUAAAUAAUCUUUUGUAACGUAAAAGUAAAAUAAAUUCAUACAUACAAAAAUUUACAAAGUUAUAAUGUACAAUAAUAAUUACAAUGACAAGUGGCCCCUAAAUGCACCAAGUAUUGGUGAUAGUAACCUACUGUCUGUGAGAUAGAGGGGUCAACUGGAAUCCUUGACAAAAUCGGUAUCUACAAGCUACCACAGGCUUGAAAUAUUUGGAAAGGAGGUGGGUGAGAUUUUGCAAUCUCAAUGAGUAAACAAACAUUAUCAUAAAUAUUUAAAGGCGAGUAAAAUGGAGGCAAGUUUAAACAACAUAUCACAAACCAUUUCAUAAGGUUUUCAAUUUAUUUCUUAAACCAUAAAAUAUUUGUAAUUUACCAAAACAGUUGUUAAGGCUUAUGACUUUUAUUAAAAACAAAGCUCAAGCCAAAACUAAUCCUCGAGAAUACCUUGGCCGAGGCAUCUAACCGAGUCCGCCAAGGUUGUUAAGAUAUUUACAUGUGAAACACAUUUUUAUUUUUAAAACAAGUCGUUCCUUGGCAUUGGUCAAGUUACACAUUCACGUGGGGGUUCGAUGUGAAGUGAGCUCUAAUACUACCCCGGGAGUUACCCUCCUCGCCUUUACAACUGGAGUAAUUAUGUAACCGGGUUUACCGUGCCCCUCUAAUAGACAGUCCACGAAAACCCGUCACUGUAGUGAGUAAACCCACCAAUUUUAAUAAAAUUUCGACAGUAUAACGUGGCUUUUAUUUAUUUACCCAGCCUGCAUAGUAAAAACAACUUACAUAAAUUCCCAAUGCAAUUUAUCAAAUAUAGCCACAUAUACUCAUAUUUCAAAAUAUAUAUUUCAAAAUAAUUGGCAGCCUCGAAUUACUCAAUUUCAUAAUCAACAAAAUAUAUUUUUAUUUGUCACAUUUAUUUCUAAAACAUCAAAAAUCCCGUUUUAAUCUCGUUUUCAUUUCAUAAAAUACAUAAAGAGCAUUUAAAAAUAAACUCUAGAUAAUUUACAAUAAUAAUAGGUUUCUCACCGUUCGUACAAAUUAACUGAUUUUUUUAGGUGCCUCGAUCACUGUUCGUCGGGUACGACUUCCUUGCCUUUAUCGGAAGGCUCUCCUCCUAAACACAUUGCAAAAUUUACCCAAUUCACCACAUUGAUGUUAAAUCUCUAUAUAAUUGACUUAAAUCCUAUACUAAUGCAUGGUAUGAAAUGCAAUUGCCUAAAACGGCUUAAACGCAGUAUUAACCUAUUUUUGGCACUUUACCAGUUAAAUUGCUAACGCGCUCCAUUUUAGCUAUAAAUUGUCAUAUUUUCUCCACAACAUUUCUAACCAUUAAAUAUUAACCAAUAACCUUCUAAAAUCACCAAAAUCAGCUCACUUUCCUCCUUGGAAAAUUCGGUCAAAAAUGGAACAUUUACUCGGUUAAUUUUCCACUUUGUUUUUCUAUCACAUUUAACCAUUUUUCAUCAUUUUCUCUUCAUUUCUCUUAGAAUAAAAAUCAGUUCAUCAUCAUUGUACAUCAAUGCAUAUUCAGCCAAGGGUGGGUAUUGUGAAAAUUUCAUGCUUUCUUGCCCAAUUUAAUUUCUAUACACAUUUAACUAACUAAAACUACCAAUUUAACUAAAAAUCAAAACCUAAAAAUUUUAAAAUCUCUCCCCUAGAAUUUCGGCCAACCCUUGGUUUCACUUUUUGAUCUCUCUCCUCAAGCAUGCUUAAUGGAAAUAAAGGCAUAGGAAAGGUAAAAAUCAAGCUAAAAUUGAAAAAUCUUACCGUUAGACUCGUAAACGGAGAAAAAACGCGAUUUCCCCUUUGAAUUUUCUAGUUUUCCUUUGUUUUUCUCUUUUCUUCCUUUCCUCACUAUUUUAUCUCUUGUUCUUUCCUUAUGGCCAGUCAACACUUAAUAUGGGGUUUAAAUGGGCUGACUUUUCAUUAAUAUAAGAUUAAAUCAUUAAAAAGUGCCAUGUGUCACUUUCCCAUUGGCCCGUUUUUAAAAUUUCAUCCAUUUGUUUCCAAAUUUUCACCAUACACUUGUCCCACAUAUCCAUAGCUUAGAUACAAUUCUCAGACUUAUCCAAAGUCUUGGUGGAGUAAUUUUUGAAAUUUACACUUUUACCACCGUAAAAGUAAAAAAUUACAUUUUUGCCCAAAAACUGAAAAAUUGCCCAUAGACAUAUUUUUCAUCCCUUAUACUCAUACCAUUUCCCAAUUUGUCAAAUUUGAUCUAAAUUCUCUCAAAAUCUCAAAUUUUAUCCUCGAGUGGCAAAAUUACGAUUUUAUCCCUAAACAUCAAAAUUUCCAAUUUUACCCCAAAUGAACCCUUGAACUCCGAACAAUCAUUUUUAGUCAUUCUUGGACUAUAAAAUAUUAAAUUUCAUCCUACAAUUCCUAUUUGAACUAGUUCGAGGUUAAAUCAACUCAAGUGUACCGUUAGGUACAAUACCGGGUUCCAUCAUUCUUAGGACUUUCUUAGUGUAAUAACAUGCUACUCAAUGCAUGUAUGUCAUGACAUGUGUUUAUAGGGUCGGGUUUUACACCGUGCCUCUCUAAUAGGUUGGUCCACAAAAUCAGCCCACUGCAGCAAGCUAAACCCACCAUACAAUAAAAAUUCAACAGCAUGAUAUGGCAAUUUUAUCAUUAUCCAGCCUAUCAAGGCGAACAACAGUUUAUACAUUUCAACACAAAUACCAAUUCAGUCAUGCAUGCCAAUAUUGUCAUAAGCCAAUCAAUUAGAACUAUAAAUUCACAAUACAUCAAAUGGUCUCCAAUUACUCUAUUUUCAAAGCCUUCAUUCAAUUUCAAGACCAUUUAUGAAAUCAUUUUAUUUAAACACAUUUUGUUUAUAAAACCUAAAAAUUUACCAUUUAAACUCAUUUUUCAUAAAAUCACAAAAUCGGAUAAAAACCACUAUAGAUAAUUAAGACGAUAGUAAGGUUCACAAUGUCUAGAGUGCGAAUUUUCAAAGUACUUUGACUACUGGUCCUCGGAUGCAAUUUCCUUACCUUAAUCGGAAGACUCACCACCUUGACAUAGUACAAAAUCGAGAAACUUACUACAUUGGUACUAAAUCGAAAUUAAACUAAUUUAGACUACUAAUGCAUGAUAUGGAAUGCAAAAUGCACGAGUAACCAACUAAACCCAUAUUGGCCUAAUUCGUCUUAUCACCCGAUUAAUUGGCCAACGUGUCCAAUUUAGCUCCAAAUUGCUCCAUUUCUUUUCCAAUACCUUAAUUCACCAAACACAAGUCAAAUAACCUAAAAUUUGGCAAAACCAUCUUCACUUUUCUUCUUAGAAUUUUCGGUCAAUAAUGGUGCAUUAACACCGUGAUGUUUCCUACUACUUUUCCACACCAUAAUUCAUCAUUUUCUAACCAAUUCUCUUAAAAUAAAAAAUCAAAUUCAUCCUCACUCAAUACAAGGUAGGUUCGGCCAUUGAUGGGUGCUGGGGAAAAUGAAUUCUUUUUUUAUUGUUUUGCUUCUAGAUAUGGUAUACUAACUAAAAACACUAACAUAACUUGAAAUCAAAUGAAUCCAACAUCAUUCUCUCUUCAUACCCAUUCAGCUAGCCAUGAAUUCACCAUGAAAACAUGAAAUUUAACCAUGAAAAAUAAGGAGAAAUGCUUAAGGAAAAUAGAUUUCAAGUUUAAAUUGAGAAAUCCUACCUUUUUCACUUGUUUUCCUUGAUUUUCCACACUUUUUCUCUUGUAAUUCUCCACCUAGGAUUCUUGUUCUUUCUUUUCUUCCUUUGUUCUUCUUUGGCCGGC
rnacentral:lncRNA from 1 species